GACGAACGCUGGCGGCGUGCUUAACACGUGCAAGUCGAACGGAAAGGCCCUGCUUGCAGGGUACUCGAGUGGCGAACGGGUGAGUAACACGUGGGUGAUCUGCCCUGCACUUCGGGAUAAGCUUGGGAAACUGGGUCUAAUACCGGAUAGGAGCCAUCUUUAGUGUGGUGGUUGGAAAGUUUUUUCGGUGUAGGAUGAGCUCGCGGCCUAUCAGCUUGUUGGUGGGGUAAUGGCCUACCAAGGCGGCGACGGGUAGCCGGCCUGAGAGGGUGUACGGCCACAUUGGGACUGAGAUACGGCCCAGACUCCUACGGGAGGCAGCAGUGGGGAAUAUUGCACAAUGGGCGCAAGCCUGAUGCAGCGACGCCGCGUGGGGGAUGAAGGCCUUCGGGUUGUAAACUCCUUUCGCUAGGGACGAAGCUUUUUGUGACGGUACCUAGAUAAGAAGCACCGGCUAACUACGUG
rnacentral:rRNA from 1 species